rnacentral:rRNA from 1 species
CUAACCGGUACUAAUGGGCCGGUGAGGCUUAACCUUACAACGCCGAAGC